GGGAGAAUGUAUCAGCUGCUGAUCUUAGUCUGGGGCCAAAGCUCUUCCACCUCCAGGUCGCACUGGAGCAUUUCAAGGGCUGGAAGAUCCCGGAGAACCUGACCAGCGUUCAUGCCUACACCCAGGUACGCAAGUGCUCAAUUGAUUGCACUUCACUAUCAGUUCGAUAAAACCUGUCCAGAAUCCAAUAAUCGAGAUCGCGUUUGUCUUUGUGCAGGCUCUUUUCAGCCGCGAAUCUUUUGUGAAGACUAAGCCAACCAAGGAGCACCUGAUUGCAGGAUGGGCACCCAAGGUGAACGCGUAAGCGCCCAUCCCCCCUUGUGCUUUGGUGCUACCUGGUGGACACCAUCUGUUUAUCUGAUCAGUCUC
rnacentral:lncRNA from 1 species